rnacentral:tRNA from 1 species
CGUCCGGUAGCUCAGCCAGGUAGAGGAUGGGGAACUAACAAAUCCCCGUGUCGUGGGUUCAAUUCCCACUCGGACGA